CUGUUUUUCUUUAUCUCUCUUGUGCCUCAGCAUUUUGACUUUAAUCAGAUUAGUGUCCUUGCAGCUUUAGCAUUGUAGUGUCCCUGCUAGCAUUGAGCAGUGGUCAUGCAGUCUGUUUUCUCUCUCUCUCUCUCUCUCUCUCUCUCUCUCUCUCCACACUGCGCUCCUGCUGCUGCUUCUGCCUCCCUCUCUCUCCACCUCCCUUCUCUGGCUGUCCCAGGACCGCUGCAGCUAACUGCAUCACCUUGCAGUUCAGGCACUGCUGUCUUUCUGCAAUCCCCUCCCUUGGCUCUCUCUCCUUCUAUCUCCCUCUUUUGCUUUUUCUUCACACCCCCUUCUUCUCUCUACUCCUUUACAUCACAAUCUCCCUCUCCUUUUUUGUCACUAUUUUUCGUUCUCUGGCAAUUAUUUUGUCAACAUGUACCGGAACCCUUGGAUCUCCAACUAUCUCAACCAUGUCAAGUUGUGUCAAGGUUCCACAGGAGAAACAGCCACUAAAGUUGGCAACACCAAAUUACAGCGGAGAGCUUAUAGCUUCCACAAAGAGUUCUCGUUUGAGGAUAAGACCGAGGGAAUCACCAGCAACAACGAAUUAGAUGUCAGUCUACUGACAAAUACACCCAAAGUCUCAGAAUUAAGGAAACGUUUUGAGGGUGUAAGCACGAGUCAGAGUUGGGACAUGAACAGGAAAGAGCGAAUUUCAAGGCGUCUGGAGGGUAUUGAUUGUGAAGUUCUUCAAAAUCUCCCAAGUUGUGCCGGUCUGGUGACCAAUCGGCUGCUAGAGGAGGACACUCCAAGAUAUACCCGUGCGGCAGAUACCUGCGACCCCUGUGCAGUUUCCCUUCAACACUAUGGCAAAAAUGACCCCAACUACUCAAAAAUGCACAACACAGAGGUUCAAUCCAGCACCCACGCCACCCUCUCCGAGUCUGCCUACAGCACAGAUUCCGCUCGUGUGGCAGAGCUGGACACUAAAGCCGAACGGAUCGCCCGCUACAAAGCGGAACGUCGCCGCCAGCUAGCCGAGCGCUACGGUAUCUCUCUGGAUCAGGAGACGGACACAGACUACUCCACUUGCUACUCCAGAAAUUCCAGAGAGCCCGACAGGGAAGACCGUCAACGCAGAAUGAAGCCAGAAGGAGGAGAGGGUGCAGAGCAUUAUGCUUUCACACCUUGGCCUCUUGAAGAUAAGAUGAGCUCACAUAUCCGUACAUAUCCCGAGUAUAGCCGGGAGCGUAAAGACUCUCUCUCUGAACGUGAAAGGUUGAUGAAUCUAGAGAAUCAAAGAAGGGCACAGGAGAGAGAUAGAUUGCACAGAGGUGGUGGGGUUACACCUGACGCAUCUGCAGCAUAUAUGGACGUGUCGGGGUCCGCCAAAGUUCCAGGGAGGCAACCGGGGGUCAUGGGGGUUCCCGGCUCACCCGUCACAGGCAGAAAGGCCACAGUGCCAUCUCCCAAACAGGGAGCAUCUCCCGGGGACAUGUUUAUUGAGCAACAGGCCCAUAAUAUCCUCAACAGACAAGGCUCCCGUAGCCAGUCAACCAACCAAUGGUCUCUUCAGACUGAUUCAGAAGGAGACACCCUCUCUCUGAUCAACUGGCCUUCCAGAAUCCGAGUUAGGGAGAGACUGGCCCGCGACGAGCCUUCUCACAAAAGUCCAAAGUUGGGCUCUGCAACAGAGACUCCUGCUUACACCCAAUUUCCCCAGUCAUACCCUCUAUAUCAUUCUCACGCUUUGACACUCCCCAACACACCAGCUAAACAACAGCAGACCCAUCCAGUCCAGGAGGAGCGCCAUGAUCAGGGGGGCCAGAGUUACUUCUCUAUGGGCAGUGAAUCCAAACAUAAACACGAGAGCCAGGAGAUGCUCGAAGAAGCAGGAUGCAAAAAAGAUGGGCAACAGGAUGUGAGGGCAGUGGGUCUCCACCACAGCAGGAAGGCUGUUUUACCCUCUGAGAUUCGACGGAAAGAAAAAAGCACGGAGGACCCACGCCGUGGAUGGACUGAGAACAUGGAAGCAAACCUGAGGAUUAGUGGCCACGGAAGGGAGUUUGUUACAGAAGAUCCCAGAGGGAUGCGGGGAGACUGGUCAAGACGGGAAGUUUACACGGAGCACAUGUCCCGACGUCAGGCUGCAGAGUCUAUGUAUGCAAAAUCUAAAGAGUCCCAAAAGAGGACUGAUGCUACACUUCAUCAGCAAGGAUCCAGUUCUGCUUUGCUCCAAACUUCUACCCAAACCCCUGCCGUGUCCUCCAGUGGAAGAUGGGCGCCAGGUUCAUCCAAACCCCUCACUCACUGUGAUGCUGGAAUUGUCCAGAAGACUGUUUCUCAUAAAAAAAAACCCAUCCAGGACUCGGUUCACAUCAGAGAGGCUGCUCCUCAGGAGAAAGUUCCCAAUGGGGAUCUCCUACCUGAACCCAAGGUUUCAGUGGCCCAGCUCCGCCACACCUACCUGAAAAGUGUUGCAAGCCCCCGGAAAACCGAACUGGCAAAAGGACCACCUGCAGUUACAGACGUCCCCUGGAGAAUUAAGAGAGGCGGAGAUCGGUCAUCUCAUCGCCCUAUGAGAUAUAUAUGUGCUGCUGAGACUAGAAAGACAUCUGAGAGAUUUAGAACUCAGCCGAUCACAACAACUGAACGUGAAUGGUUGGACCGGUCUUGUCUAACCCCUGAACCGCCAAGCCUGGAGGUGGAUGAGGAGAAGCUGGAUGAGAAAGCAAAGCUGAGUGUGGCUGCCAAGCGCUCUCUCUUCAGGGAGCUAGAGAAGAGUUCAGAUGGUUCAGUUCUGAAGUCAUGGAGUCGUAACCCUGGCGUGGAACGGAGGCUGAGGAGAGGUCAGGAUCGUUCACGCACCCAGCCUGUGACAUCAGAGGAGGUGGUCAUUGCUGCUACUGUCCCUGGCCAUUUGUCACAGUCCGAGACUGUGCGAACCUCUGUAGCACGUGUUCCUAGUCCCACUUUAAUCAACAGCUCUGUGACCAAAUACAGUCUGCAGGCAUCAUCUCAGCAGAGCUCAAUGGUGAGGGAGCAGGCCAGAGAAUUUCGGCUGGCUCAAGAGGCCGUGGAGAUGGAUCUAGCUCGGCACGCGUUUCCUGAGGAGGAUGGCAAGGAGGAGCCAGACCUUUCCACGCUUACACUGGCAGAGAAGAUGGCACUCUUUAAUCGCCUGGCACAGCCGUCCAGCCACGCCCCUCGGGCUAGGAGUGACACUCGGGCACGCAGGAAUAACACACGCUACCAGACGCAGCCAAUCACACUGGGAGAGGUUGAACAGGAUGGCUCUGUUUCUGAGAUGUGUGAUGAGGAGUCGGAGUUCUCAGAGGUUCUCAGUGAUCUGGAACAUUUGCUGCCUGCGGGUGGAGAUCGUUUUGCAUCCGCCUCUUCCUCGGUCCUUAAAUCCUCUACGGUUUCUACUGAACACGCCGGUGACAUCCACCUGGCCACGCCUAAUUUAUCUGGCCCCGCCUACUAUGAGCAGGCCCUUUCCCCACCACACCACUCUCAACCUGCACAAGAGACAUCCAAGAAUCAGACACAUCAGGAAGCCGAUAUGUCAACUGUGGCCCAAGGAGAAAGGCUGGUUUUGGGCAUGGGGAAGAGGAAGCACCCCUCGCCAGAAAGCAUUAAACAGACGCCACAAGCUCAGCCGGACAGAGAGUGGGAGGAGCCGAAAGGGCGUAAUAUGGAGCUGGUGACCUCUCAAGACCUUUCAGAAACAGAUGGAAAGCACAAGUCAAAGGGAGCCGUCUCAGAUCUUCCUGUGCACACAGCCGCAGUACGCGCUGCGACCGCUGCGACGCAGGACUCGACACGGGGCGUCUCUCUCACGCAGCACACACACGCGCAGAUGCUCACAGAGUCUGGCGCGCACCUCCCCGUGGACUGCAGGAGAGAGCAGGAGUGUGAGACGGACUUUAUAACAGAGGAGGGAGACAUGUUCACAGACAUCAUGUCUGCCAGACAGAUGUCCAUCAAAGAGAGGCUGGUCCUGUUGAAGAAGAGCGGAGAGGACGACUGGAGGAAUCGCAUCAAUAAAAAACAGGAUGUGGUGAAGGUCGCGGUGUCUGAAAAACACGCUCAGCUGUGGGAAGUGGAGCAGAGCUUCAAGAAGAAGGAUGAUGGGAUGAUGAUAGAUGACUUUGCUGUGUCUGAUCAACUCUGGGACCCUGUCUUUUCCUCCUCUUUUUCGUGUGCCUCUGAACCACUGGAUCAUAUAGCCAUUCACCCUCAGGCUACCCCCCUGCCCGUGCAGGUGCAUGAGCGUCACCCCUGGAGACGGAAGAUCUCUUCUUUGCCGUCUCAGAGGAUUGGAAACGAGGUGGUGGAGAGCCAGAGGAUCGAGCGAAUUGAGAUGUCCAUUCAGGAGCGCAAGCAGCUCAUCACCACGCAAGAAGAUGCCUGGAAGGUCAAAGGACACGGAGCAGCCAAUGACUCGACUCAGUUUACAGUGGCAGGCCGGAUGGUCAGGAAAGGUCUGGCAGCCCCCUCUGUUCUCUCAAAUCCAGUGCUGUCUCCUCUUACCUCUAAGAACAAGAAUGGUUCCCACACCAUCUCAAAGCCAUUUGAAGAGAUUGAAGUCAGACAGGACAUGAAGCUGGAAUCAGACAAGAAGCUGGAAAAGUUGGAGUCAUUCCUUGGCCGGCUCAAUAGUAAAGUGUCGGGUCUUCAGGAGACCACCAUUGCAGUCACAGAAAAAUCUGUUAAAGAGGUCAUGACCCUGGAGGAUGAAACCUUUGAUAAGUUUUAUCGGCACACAGAGGAAAUGGCCAAGAUUACAAGCGGAGUGGAAAUCAACGAUGAUUUCGAUGCCAUCUUUGGAACACAGAUGCCCAGGUUGACCUCAGAGAUGGUGCAGCACAAACGAGCAGUACGACCCACCAGGAACGUUCAGUCUUCCAGGAAUCCCCUGAAAAUGUUGGCUGUUCGGGAGGACAUCAGACACGAGUACACAGAGCAGAGACUGAACAUCGGCCUUCUGGAGAGCAAGAGGAUGAAACAGGAAAAGAUGAAUAAGAACAGCGGAUUCUCUGACGUUGCUCUUGCUGGUUUGGCCAGUAAGGAAAACUUCAGCAGUGUGAGUCUGCGCAGUUUGAACGUCUCCGAGCAGAGGUCGAACAACAGUGCCAUGCCCUAUAAAAAACUCAUGCUCAUUCAGGUCAAAGGUCGCCGACACGUCCAGACCAGACUAGUGGAGCCCAGAGCCUCUUCCUUGAACAGCGGCGAUUGCUUCCUCUUGGUGACGCCUCAUUACUGCUUCAUCUGGAUUGGAGAAUUUGCAAAUGUUAUUGAGAAGGCCAAAGCGGCAGAGUUGGCCGCGUUCAUUCAGACAAAGCACGACCUGGGCUGCCGAGCCUCGUAUGUGCAGACUGUUGAAGAAGGUGCCAACACUCAUACUCCUGCAGCCAAAGAGUUUUGGAAGAUUCUUGGUGGCCAAGCCAGUUAUCAGUCCGCAGGCUCUCCAGAAGAGGACGAGUUCUAUGAGAAUGCUGUAGUAGAGACCAACUGUAUCUACAGACUAUUGGAAGAUAAACUUGUUCCUGAUGACGACUACUGGGGUCGAGUGCCUCGCUGCUCUAUGCUCAACUCUAAAGAAGUGCUGGUGUUUGAUUUUGGUAGUGAGGUGUACGUGUGGCACGGUAAGGAGGUGACGCUGGCCCAGAGAAAAGUGGCUUUUCAGUUGGCUAAGCAUCUGUGGAACGGCACAUUUGAUUACAGCAACUGUGAUAUCAAUCCUCUGGAUCCUGGAGAAUGCAACCCACUCAUACCCAGAAAAGGUCAGGGACGGCCAGACUGGGCGGUUUUCGGCAGGUUGUCUCAGCACAAUGAAACUACCCUCUUUAAAGAGAAGUUCUUGGACUGGAGUGACACCCAGAAAUCCUCGAGAAAAAAUGACUCCUCGCAUGCAACUGAAAAUAAGGAGCAUCGGAGUGGGGAAUGUAGGUCCUAUGAUGCAUCUCUGAUGUUGCCGAUGGUACAGACGCCAGUAAGGACCGUUUUGGAUGGGGCAGAUAUUGGACGAGGUUAUGGAUUGGUGGAGGGCGACGAGGGGCGGAACUUUGAGAUCAGCACGCUGUCUGUUGAUGUUUGGCACAUUCUAGAGUUUGACUACAGUCGUCUACCCAAACAGAGCAUCGGACAGUUCCAUGAAGGCGACACACAUGUGGUCAAAUGGAAGUAUAUGGUCAGCACAGCAGUUGGCAAGAGGCUGAAUUCAGGAAGGAUCAUUGGCCCAGGGAAGGAGAAGUGUUGUUAUUUCUUCUGGCAGGGUCGAAACUCUACUGUGAGUGAGAAGGGAACGUCAGCGCUGAUGACUGUGGAGCUGGACGAGGAAAGAGGAGCCCAGAUGCAGGUCCAGCAGGGAAAAGAACCUCCUUGUUUCCUACAGUGCUUUAACGGAGGAAUGAUUGUCCAUGCUGGAAAGAGAGAGGAAGAGGAGGAAAAUGCACAAAAUGACUGGCGAUUAUACUGUGUAAGAGGAGAGAAACCCAUAGAAGGCCAUCUGCUGGAGGUAGUGUGCCACUGCAGCAGUCUGCGCUCUCGCACCUCCCUCAUCCUCCUGAAUAUCCCUAAAGCCAGCAUGUACCUGUGGCACGGCUGCAAGGCGCAGACGCACACGCGUGAUGUGGGCCAUACCGCUGCCAACAAGAUUAAGGAGCAGUGUCCUCUGGAGGCGGGGCUUCACAGCAGCAGUAAGGUAUCCAUCCAGGAAUGUGAUGAAGGAGCAGAACCACUGGGAUUCUGGGAAGCUUUGGGAAGAAGAGAUCGAAAGGCUUACGACUGCAUGCUGCAGGAUCCAGGAAAGUUCAACUUUACUCCUCGUCUGUUUCAACUAAGCAGCACUUCAGGAGAGUUUGUGGCUGUGGAGUUUGUGUAUCCGUCCAGAGAACCGAAUUUGGUCAACUCGAUGCCUUUCCUACAGGAGGACUUGUAUACAGCCACUCAGCCAGCUCUGUUUUUGGUGGAUAAUCACCAUGAAGUUUACCUAUGGCAGGGCUGGUGGCCCGUGGAUAGUGAAAGCACGGGCUCGGCUCGUAUACGAUGGGACUCCGACAGGAAGUGCGCCAUGGAAACCGUGCUCCAGUAUUGCAAAGACAAAAACGAGAAGAAACCGCCCAAAUCAUACCUGAUCCAUGCAGGGCUGGAGCCUCUUACCUUUACUAACAUGUUCCCAUGCUGGGAACACAGAGAGGACAUCACUGACAUCACAGAGAAGGAAGCUGAAGUAUGCAAUCAGAUCAUUCUUGUUGAGGACGUCUUGUCUAGACUCUGCAAGACCACGUACCCAUUGGCUGAUCUACAAGCCCGUCCCUUACCAGAAGGCGUUGACCCUCUAAAUCUUGAGAUCUACCUAUCAGAUGAAGACUUCGAGUCUUGCAUCUGACAGAGGUUAUUUUUUCCCUUCACAUGCCAGGGUGUAGGGGCUUCUGGGAAGAAAGCAUUGGAGAUGACAAGAAGUGAGUAUGAGGCACUGCCAGGAUGGAAGCAAGUUAAUGUGAAGAAAGCCAAAGGAUUGUUUUAGUGGGAAAUGUGUUCAAAGUGAUUUGAAUCCGCAAGUGGAGAACUUUCUCAUUCCUUUUCAUCCAAAUGGAAAAAAAACACAAGCGUGCCUGUGUCAAACCACACAGGGAAGAGAAAAGGAGGAAGAUAAAAGAAAAGACAGAGAUUGGCAGGGGUUUACCAGCCUCUUGUAGCACAUCUCUUCCCGGUUUUGUUUCCAGUUUUUAUUUUUGUUUAGUUUCAUUUGUUAUUCUUGUUUUACAGCUCUUUGAGCAUUUCCCAGCUUGUUGCGUUCUUCCUGUCCACGUGAUAGAAGCCAUUCAGCCCUCAUGCACUGCCCAGCUUUAUGUAAAGACCCAUGAAAAGAAGCCGUUUAGUAUUAUCUGAAUGUAAGAUGGCUCAAGUGUCAUUAGUAUCAUUGGUAACAUUCAUACUGCGUUAUUAAAUGGCCUCCAGAGUUAUUUAAUCAUCCAGAUAGAUGCUUGAGCUUUGUGUGUGCGUGUUUAUAUGAGUGUUUGUGAAUCUGUACAGUUUGAGCGUCUAGGUUGGAUUGAAUGAAAAGUGUGGAAUAAGAGAAAAUAUCUUUCUAUUCUGCAUUGUAUAGUGCCUUGCCUUCAUGUACAGUUUAUAUAAAGACAGAUGCUAGUCUGCAUUUUGAAGACUUAUUUGUGAUAUAAAUAAAUAAUAGAGCAAAAUAAACACUGAUAUAUGUAUCGUA